GGGGGUGUAGCUCAGUGGUAGAGCGCAUGCUUUGCAUGCAUGAGGCCCUGGGUUCAAUGCCCAGCACCUCCA
rfam:Canis lupus familiaris chromosome 35, whole genome shotgun sequence.